AUUGACCUCGGAUCAGGUAGGGAUACCCGCUGAACUUAAGCAUAUCAAUAAGCGGAGGAAAAGAAACCAACAGGGAUUGCCUCAGUAACGGCGAGUGAAGCGGCAACAGCUCAAAUUUGAAAUCUGGCCCUUUUGGGGUCCGAGUUGUAAUUUGUAGAGAGUGUUUCGGGCGAGGCCAGGGUCUAAGUCUAUUGGAACAUUACGUCACAGAGGGUGAGAAUCCCGUAUGUGACCGUGGCUCGAGCCCAUGUGAAACCUCUUCGACGAGUCGAGUUGUUUGGGAAUGCAGCUCAAAAUGGGUGGUAAAUUUCAUCUAAAGCUAAAUACUGGCUGGAGACCGAUAGCGCACAAGUAGAGUGAUCGAAAGAUGAAAAGCACUUUGGAAAGAGAGUUAAACAGUACGUGAAAUUGUUGAAA
rnacentral:rRNA from 1 species